GUAGGUGGCAAGCGUUGUCCGGAAUUAUUGGGCGUAAAGCGCGCGCAGGCGGUUCUUUAAGUCUGAUGUGAAAGCCCACGGCUCAACCGUGGAGGGUCAUUGGAAACUGGAGAACUUGAGUACAGAAGAGGAAAGCGGAAUUCCACGUGUAGCGGUGAAAUGCGUAGAGAUGUGGAGGAACAUCAGUGGCGAAGGCGGCUUUCUGGUCUGUAACUGACGCUGAGGCGCGAAAGCGUGGGGAGCAAACAGGAUUAGAUACCCUGGUAGUCCACGCCGUAAACGAUGAGUGCUAAGUGUUAGGGGGUUUCCGCCCCCCUUAGUGCUGCAGCUAACGCAUUAAGCACUCCGCCUGGGAGUACGGCCGCAAGGCUG
rnacentral:rRNA from 1 species